AGUGAACGCUGGCGGCGUGCCUAAUACAUGCAAGUCGAACGAACGAAUAAGAGCUUGCUCUUAUAAGUUAGUGGCGCACGGGUGAGUAAUAUAUAGCUAAUCUGCCUCUUAGUAGAGGAUAACAGUCGGAAACGAUUGCUAAUACUCUAUACUUCUGCUUUACAUAAGUAAAGUAGAGAAAGUUUUUCACUAAGAGAUGAGGCUAUACUGUAUCAGCUAGUUGGUAAGGUAACGGCUUACCAAGGCUAUGACGCAUAACUGGUCUGAGAGGAUGAUCAGUCACAUUGGAACUGAGACACGGUCCAAACUCCUACGGGAGGCAGCAGUAGGGAAUAUUGCGCAAUGGGGGAAACCCUGACGCAGCAACGCCGCGUGGAGGAUGACACCUUUCGGAGCGUAAACUCCUUUUAUCGGGAAAGAAUAAUGACGGUACCCGAUGAAUAAGCACCGGCUAACUCCGUG
rnacentral:rRNA from 1 species